GUGAGUCCAGUCAAUCAAUGGAGACCACAAUCCUAAGUGGAUAGACCUGGAAAAUGACUAAGUAUUCCAUUAAAAUCUUUCCCUAAAAUCUAUCCUAAAAUCUCCUCCCUUAAAACCCUUACGAAAGAGGACUCAGUGUGCUCUCUCCCUCCUUCCCAGGAGCUAGCCUGUGCCUUUCCCUUCCCUACCCUUCUCCCCCUUUCCCAGGCAAGUUACCAUCAACUUCCUCACUCCCAAACUACAAAAGCCUUUCCUUUACCUCUAUAACUUGUUUCCUAAGACCAUUUCUUCUAAAAUUUACUUUUUCUACCUCUGUAAUUUACCCAAUAAAUGUUCUUUUAUAAAACAAAAGGUAAGAAAUUC